rnacentral:rRNA from 1 species
AUACGGAGGGGACUAGCGUUGUUCGGAAUUACUGGGCGUAAAGCGUACGUAGGCGGAUCAGAAAGUAUGGGGUGAAAUCCCAGGGCUCAACCCUGGAACUGCCUCAUAAACUCCUGGUCUUGGGUUCGAGAGAGGUGAGUGGAAUUCCGAGUGUAGAGGUGAAAUUCGUAGAUAUUCGGAGGAACACCAGUGGCGAAGGCGGCUCACUGGCUCGAUACUGACGCUGAGGUACGAAAGUGUGGGGAGCAAACAGGAUUAGAUACCCUAGUAGUCC